AAAUAAUCUCUUUCUCAUUUUUGUCACCACAGUGGCUUUCGUACUGGACCCCUUGCUAGAAACUGAAAAGAGCUGCCGAAUGGCUUAAAACACGUCUCUUUCCUUUCCUGCUUCCCACAGAGCCUCUCAUCUGGAGUUGGAGCUGGGGAGCUCCCUUGAGAGAGAGGGUGAAAAAGACACACCAAGAAGGUGCCACUGCAAGCCAGGAAGAAAAGUGUCACCAGGAACCAGUCCUUGCAGCACCUUGAUCUUGGACUUCCAGUCUCCA
rnacentral:lncRNA from 1 species